UGAGCGUCGGUGACGGGUGCGAGUGGGAGCCCGCCGGUCGGGACCCGAAAGGUGGUGAACUAUGCCUGAGCGGGGCGAAGCCAGAGGAAACUCUGGUGGAGGCUCGAAGCGAUACUGACGUGCAAAUUUUUCGUCUGACUUGGGUAUAGGGGCGAAAGACUAAUCGAACCAUCUAGUAGCUGGUUCCCUCCGAAGUUUCCCUCAGGAUAGCUGGAGCCCAUUACGAGUUCUAUCAGGUAAAGCCAAUGAUUAGAGGCAUUGGGGACGC
rnacentral:ncRNA from 1 species